GACGAACCGUCCUAACGUUAUUCGGAAUUACUGGGCUUAAAGCGCGUGUAGGCGGGGAGGCACGUCUGUCGCUUAAAUCCCACGGCUCAACCGUGGAACUGGCGUAGAUACGACCCCCCUGGAGGGGUGUAGGGGGACCUGGAACUUCCGGUGGAGCGGUGAAAUGCGCUGAGAUCGGAAGGAACGCCCGUGGCGAAAGCGAGGUCCUGGACACUUUCUGACGCUGAGACGCGAAAGCCAGGGGAGCAAACGGG
rnacentral:rRNA from 1 species